rnacentral:rRNA from 1 species
CCUACGGGAGGCAGCAGUGGGGAAUAUUGGACAAUGGGGGAAACCCUGAUCCAGCGACGCCGCGUGAGUGAAGAAGUAUUUCGGUACGUAAAGCUCUAUCAGCAGGGAAGAAAAUGACGGUACCUGACUAAGAAGCCCCGUCUAACUACGUGCCAGCAGCGGCGGUAAUACGUAGGGGGCAAGCGUUAUCCGGAUUUACUGGGUGUAAAGGGAGCGUAGACGGCAGCGCAAGUCUGGAGGGAAAUGGCGGGGCCCAACCCCGGAACUGCACUGGAUACUGGGAAGCUGGAGUGCAGGAGAGGUAGGCGGAAUUCCUGGUGUAGCGGUGAAAUGCGUAGAUAUCAGGAGGAACACCGACGGCGAAGGCAGCUUACUAGACUGUAACUGACGUUGAGGCUCGAAGGCGUGGGUAGCAAACAGGAUUAGAUACCCGAGUAGUC